rnacentral:tRNA from 1 species
GUCUGCAUGGCCUAAUGGAUUAGGCAUCUGGCUUCAGAUUAGAAGACUUAUGGUAUGAGUCCCUUUGCAGUUG